AGGCUCGAAAGACUUUUCCACGAGAGAUGCAAUUUCGCCGUGUCACCAUCCUGAUUGUAAUUUUGGGAUGCGCCCUAUUCCGAAGCGUGUCAGCCUGUGGAACACGGAAGGAUCCAACUCCGCCUUUAAAAUAUUGUGGUAAUAGCCGUGAGGGAUGUUCUCCAGUCACCAGGUGUACAUGGCCAUGCACUACAUGCUACGGCUACAAAGGUUCUGGCUGCUAUGGCGUGUGCGUGUUCAAUGCGUCGAAAUACCCAAGAGCACUGAAAAAGUUUAUACAGUGAUAGUGUCAAGCAUGAAAAACAGAAAAUGCUGCAUGCUUAUGGUCUACAUUUGCUCCUUAACCAAUUCCUUUUUUCAAAGCAGUGAUGCAUGCCAAAAGAAAGUAAUAGUAAAAGCUGUAUUUAAUUUUUUUUUACACACCCACUGAAAGACAAACAACAGUCAACGAUAGGCCACUUUAUAUUCUGCACACAAUAACGACCACUAAGUGAUAUACGACUUUAUAUUGAAUAAAAAAUAAUUUGCUGUAA